rnacentral:rRNA from 1 species
GUGGGGAAUAUUGGACAAUGGGCGAAAGCCUGAUCCAGCCAUGCCGCGUGUGUGAAGAAGGUCUUCGGAUUGUAAAGCACUUUAAGUUGGGAGGAAGGGCAGUAAGUUAAUACCUUGCUGUUUUGACGUUACCGACAGAAUAAGCACCGGCUAACUUCGUGCCAGCAGCCGCGGUAAUACGAAGGGUGCAAGCGUUAAUCGGAAUUACUGGGCGUAAAGCGCGCGUAGGUGGUUCAGUAAGUUGGAAGUGAAAUCCCCGGGCUCAACCUGGGAACUGCUUUCAAAACUGCUGAGCUAGAGUACGGUAGAGGGUAGUGGAAUUUCCUGUGUAGCGGUGAAAUGCGUAGAUAUAGGAAGGAACACCAGUGGCGAAGGCGACUACCUGGACUGAUACUGACACUGAGGUGCGAAAGCGUGGGGAGCAAACAGGAUUAGAAACCCGGGUAGUCC